AGUGGCAAAUUGAAUAUUUGCCAGCGCGCGUGUGUGUGUGCGCAGCCUUUUUGUUUGUGCUUGUUCGCAUUGUUAAAUAUCCGCACCAGCAGUGCAGCCAAAUGGGAUGAUAGAUGCCGAAUGCCGAAUGGCGCGCGAGCAGAGCGAGUGGCUACCAUUGUUAAUCCGCAGUUCGUCCUCUGUGCCCCUUGCCUCCUCCCUCGCUCAUUCCUGUGCCACAGCUCAGCUUGCUACCAAAACUCGACCUCGACUUCAUCCCUUGCUCUCUCGGAACUCUCAUGCUCAAGCUGUUGCUUCAGCUACAGCUCAGCGUACAAUUGUUGCUUUGCGGAGACUGCGCUCAUUGCCGGGUGCUGCCAAUCCUGGGUGC
ensembl:ncRNA lncRNA:CR45661 long non-coding RNA:CR45661